rnacentral:lncRNA from 1 species
GAUUCCAGGUCCUGCUUGCUGAAGCCUUAGGGAGGAAAAGCUUUCACUCUCAGGACAAGAAUGUGAGAAUUAUGGGGCGUCAGAUGCUACACCUCCCUUGUGACCAUGAAGAGAAGGACACCGAUGGACACUGUGAGACACAGCUCACAUCCAAAGGGAACUAUGCUGAAAAACGGACCCUGGUGCCAUCCUUCGAGCUUCCCUGAUAACGUCUGCCGUUAAGAAGAGCGACUUCUAGGUUCCUGCCAUCUACAGCAUGGACAAUUCCAACUCAUCCUAUGGACUGACAGUUACAGCAUGGCUUGUGGCCGCCUGACCGCGCGGAGCAUGGUGCACCAGGAGCGAAGCCCUGCCGUGUUGGUCACAGGACCUGUAGCAGAGACAAGUUCGUUGAAAAGGACGUGUAGUCACAGCUUUAAUAGUGCUUGCUUAUGAAUUUGAAAGUAGAGCAACAAGUCGAAUGAGAGCUCCUGCUCUGGGGAAGCCAGAU